rnacentral:rRNA from 1 species
GAUGAACGCUGGCGGCGUGCCUAAUACAUGCAAGUCGAGCGAACGGACGAGAAGCUUGCUUCUCUGAUGUUAGCGGCGGACGGGUGAGUAACACGUGGAUAACCUACCUAUAAGACUGGGAUCACUUCGGGAAACCGGAGCUAAUACCGGAUAAUAUUUUGAACCGCAUGGUUCAAAAGUGAAAGACGGUCUUGCUGUCACUUAUAGAUGGAUCCGCGCUGCAUUAGCUAGUUGGUAAGGUAACGGCUUACCAAGGCAACGAUGCAUAGCCGACCUGAGAGGGUGAUCGGCCACACUGGAACUGAGACACGGUCCAGACUCCUACGGGAGGCAGCAGUAGGGAAUCUUCCGCAAUGGGCGAAAGCCUGACGGAGCAACGCCGCGUGAGUGAUGAAGGUCUUCGGAUCGUAAAACUCUGUUAUUAGGGAAGAACAUAUGUGUAAGUAACUGUGCACAUCUUGACGGUACCUAAUCAGAAAGCCACGGCUAACUACGUGCCAGCAGCCGCGGUAAUACGUAGGUGGCAAGCGUUAUCCGGAAUUAUUGGGCGUAAAGCGCGCGUAGGCGGUUUUUUAAGUCUGAUGUGAAAGCCCACGGCUCAACCGUGGAGGGUCAUUGGAAACUGGAAAACUUGAGUGCAGAAGAGGAAAGUGGAAUUCCAUGUGUAGCGGUGAAAUGCGCAGAGAUAUGGAGGAACACCAGUGGCGAAGGCGACUUUCUGGUCUGUAACUGACGCUGAUGUGCGAAAGCGUGGGGAUCAAACAGGAUUAGAUACCCUGGUAGUCCACGCCGUAAACGAUGAGUGCUAAGUGUUAGGGGGUUUCCGCCCCUUAGUGCUGCAGCUAACGCAUUAAGCACUCCGCCUGGGGAGUACGACCGCAAGGUUGAAACUCAAAGGAAUUGACGGGGACCCGCACAAGCGGUGGAGCAUGUGGUUUAAUUCGAAGCAACGCGAAGAACCUUACCAAAUCUUGACAUCCUUUGACAACUCUAGAGAUAGAGCCUUCCCCUUCGGGGGACAAAGUGACAGGUGGUGCAUGGUUGUCGUCAGCUCGUGUCGUGAGAUGUUGGGUUAAGUCCCGCAACGAGCGCAACCCUUAAGCUUAGUUGCCAUCAUUAAGUUGGGCACUCUAAGUUGACUGCCGGUGACAAACCGGAGGAAGGUGGGGAUGACGUCAAAUCAUCAUGCCCCUUAUGAUUUGGGCUACACACGUGCUACAAUGGACAAUACAAAGGGCAGCGAAACCGCGAGGUCAAGCAAAUCCCAUAAAGUUGUUCUCAGUUCGGAUUGUAGUCUGCAACUCGACUACAUGAAGCUGGAAUCGCUAGUAAUCGUAGAUCAGCAUGCUACGGUGAAUACGUUCCCGGGUCU